CAGAGGUCCCAAGCGUUGUUCGGAUUCACGUGGGCGUAAAGGGUGCGUAGGUGGUGAGGUAAGUCGGAUGUGAAAUCUCCGGGCUCAACCCGGAAAUGGCAUUGGAAACUACCUUGCUGGAGGUAUUGAGGGGGGAUUGGAAUACUUGGUGUAGCAGUGAAAUGCGUAGAUAUCAAGUGGAACACCAGUGGCGAAGGCGAAUCCCUGGAAAAUACCUGACACUGAGGCACGAAAGCUAGGGGAGCAAACAGGAUUAGAUACCCUGGUAGUCCUAGCCCUAAACGGUGCUUGCUUGCUGUAAGAGGAAUCGACCCCUCUUGUGGCGGAGCUAACGCGUUAAGCAAGCCGCCUGGGAAGUACGGUCGCAAGAUUA
rnacentral:rRNA from 1 species